rnacentral:lncRNA from 1 species
ACCAUCCUCCUGAGAAGUGUUCAAUAAUAUUAAUAGCUAAUGAAUCAACAGCAUUUUGGACAUUUUGCCCAUUCUCUACCUUUACUGCUCCCAUAAUGGUUGCCUUGUGCUCAGCAGUAAGGUAAUUAUCCCACCAACCUUGUAAUUGGCCUGUAAAGCCUGCUACAAUCAUUUCAGCAAUUGCUUUAUCCUUAUUACCAUUAACCUCACAAAUUGUACUAUACAUACGAAUUCUACGUAUCGUAUUAUAGAUCUGACGAUCAGUGAAGCCAUCUAUGUUCCAUUCAUAGAUUUUUGUCCCACUAAAACUAUGGGAAAGAUUGAUACCAUCGUAUCGAUUAAAAUCCAUCUGGUGGAGACGUUUUAAUUUAAAUUCUCUCACCUCUGAUGGAGGUUGGAUGCUACCAGUAGCAAUAGAAGUGAUCUGUUCACCAAGAAUCAUGCUGCUUGAGCAUAGUAUUAACCUCUUGAGCAGUAUCCAUUAAAAUCCAUCUGAAAAAUCCAUUUCGGAUGGGUUUGGGUAAAAUAAUUAAACAAAAUAAUGGAAGACGAUUUUAAGCUUACAAAGGAAGAAGAUUUUGCUGAUGAUAGGAUUUGCCCUUUUCUCUGGAUAGGAUUUUGUGUGCUACUUCAGCUCUGGAUAGAAUAUGACUUUUGCUCGGAAGAAAGAGAAAUAUAGUAUAGUAGUUACACCUGUUAAAUGGGUCGACCCGACCCGGCCCAUUUGACAGGUCCUUUCAGUUGGCCCAUAAUCCACUAACUCACUAUUUCUUCUUUAUUUAGUGUCAGAAAAUGGACCCCACAAGCACAUUUGUCAAAUGUAAAAGGUGGUCUCGUACAAUUAUUGUUGGGUGAGCCGUCCAUUUUGCUGACACUACGUUAUAAAUAAAGAAGAAAAAGUGAGUAGUGGAUUGUGGGCCAACUGAAAGGAUUAGAUAAAAUAAAAAAGGUAAAGAAUUUAUUUUGUGUCUGCUCCACUAGUUAUAUAAGAUUAUUUUUUAUCUCACAAAUUUAUAAACUUUAAUCUUACACUUUUGGAUUCACAAAAAUCCGGGUCUACAAAACUGUAAGACAAAAAAAUUGACUCAUACAACUAGUGUCAGUUGUACGAGACACGAAAUAAAAUUUUCUAAGUAAUGUGAACUGUGGGCCCCACUCAAAAUCAUAAACUCCAUCAGAAUCUGAAAUUAAGAGCGUUCACGUUUUUCUUUUUAACCACUUUUUUUUUCGGUUUCUUUUUAACCACUUGAAACAAUACCUAAAACAAAAAUUUCCCAAUCUCAAACACCAUUUUCCUCUAGUGUAUUGAGGUAUUAUUCACUCCGAUUUCUUCUACUUAAACCAAUUCUUGACCGUAUUCAUCUCUACAAUAUUUAGAACACUUUUAUAGCUUAGAGCCCGCUUGACCAAGCUGUCAAAAAUUAUUUAUUUUUAAAAGCACUUUUGUUUAAAAGUGCUUUAAAAAAAAUACUUUUGCAAAAUAAGUAGUUUGCGUUAGGCCAAUUCGUCUGAGUAGUAUUUUUUGCAAGCUCAUUGUGUUUGGCCAAUCUUUUAAAAAAAAUACUUUCAACUAUCAAAUUACAAAAAAGGACAGUAAAUGUUCAACUUGUGAUUAAUAUUAUUUAGAAAAGAAAAAUAAAGUUAAACAUUUAUUAGAAAAGAAUUUAAUUAGACAUAAAACGUAAAGUAAAAAAUAUAAAGUUAAAAUUCUAAUUAAUAUAAAAUAUAGUUAUUCCAAAGCAAUCAUAUUGAGUGUUAGGUAUUAUUUAUUAUUUACAUGAUAAACUAAAUAUGUCAAAAUAUAUCAUUCAAUAUAAAUUUAAUAUCUACUUUUAUGAAUAGGAGAAAGAGAAUAAAAAUAUAAUGAAAGUAAAAAAGAGAAUAAAUGUAUAGCAGAAAUUUAGCUCAAUUCUAAAGAUCUUCUGCAACUUAUGUUUAUCCAUGAAUUUAAGGUAAAUUCUUUUUCAAUCUCUUAUGGAUUCUUUGUAUAUUGCUCAUAACAAAAAAAAAUAUUUCAGCAACUAGGUUUAAUGCAGCUUGACAGUAAGUCUGUAACGAUCAACUGGAAGACUACAACAAAGUAAGAUAUAAUUUUCGCACUAAAAGAGUUAUAGUGAUACUACAAGUUUAUAUUGAUCUUAUUUCAACUUUAUAUUAAAUAGUAUGUAUUGAUAUAAUUUUCCUUGCAGUCAUGAUAGCAAAUAGAUCAAUAUGCAAAAGUAUCAAUGUCAGUGAGCACAAAUUUGUAUUUAUAUACCAUAAUAAGGAGCAUUUUGUUGAUAGGAAAACAUAAAUUUUAUAUUGACAAUAAGAAUAUUUUGUGAGCACAAUUUUGUAUUUCAUAUGCAUAUAAAUAAGAAAAGUAUUUUGUACGCACAAUUUUGUAUUUCAUAUUGAUAUGGAUGGAUAACUCUGAAGGUUUAGUUUCAAAGCUUUGGCAACUGAAGAUAAAUUUAGGAAAAUAUAAAUUGUGAUAACAAAAUUAAACAAAAAAAAAAGACAGAUAUAUACAAAAUGUAUAGUAGUAGUACACAAGUGAAAGGCAACCAAAGUGUGUAAACGAAGAUCACAUACAAUGGGUUAGAGAGAAAGUCUCCAGCUUCUCUCUAAAAGUUUCCUUCUUUAAUAUUCUCCAACUCCCCCUUCCUCACUUUCUUUCCCCGUCCCUCACCAGAUGAAUACUAACGAACACAAGACUUUGAACCCAAAAGACAUGCCCUUCAAUGACCAAACUGAAGAGAUGCCCAGUCAAUCUGUAUUAAACGAGCAAGAAGCCACUGGGGCAACACCGGGCCUUCUCAUCAAUACAACCCCUCCAAUGGACAUGGAAAUUUGUAAAGGUAAACAUACAGAUAAACCUGAAGCUGGAACAAAGGACACAACCAACCCCACAAAGAGGAUGACCUUCCUGGACAUCUUGGUAGCGGGUAAUACUGCAAAUAAUGAGCUAGAAGGAAGCCAAGUCACAGUCCAACAAAAUAUGGUCUCCUAUGAGCAAGAACAUGAAACUAAUAACUACCCUAACCCAGAGUUUUUCAUCCCCAUUACCUCAUCGGAUAAGGAACGUAUAUACAAGAACUGGACCAACGCUCUUAUCAAAAUGUUCGGCAGGAGAGUUGGUUACCAAUUUCUCCGAAAAAAGCUUCACGCAAUAUGAAAACCAACUGAAACCCUAUCCCCGAUGGACCUAGGAUGCGACUACUACUUAAUAAAAUUUGCUAAAGAGGAAAAUUAUAAUAAGGCCCUUCAUGAAGGACCAUGAUUUAUAGGGAACCAAUUUCUCACAGUAAGAAAAUGAGAGCCUAGAUUCGUAGCUUCCAAAGCUGCAUUAACUUACUCAGCCAUAUGGGAAAGACUCCCGGAAUUACCCACUGAAUUCUACGACUACGAUAUCCUUCAAAAAAUCGGAGAGAAGCUAGGACAACUAAUACGUAUUGAUGCAUGCACAAAAUCCGCUCUAAGGGGUAAGUAUGCUCGACUUUGCGUAAUGGUACCCAUAGAAAAACCUCUAAAAACCUAUAUUGUGAUUGGCAAACACAUACAACAAAUUACCUACGAGGGGUUUAAUAUCCUAUGCACAAAUUACGACAAGCUUGGACAUAACCUGAGUAGCUGUCCUCACCAAGCGCCCAAACCAGUAGAACUCCAGGAAGCAAGCUCAUCCAAUACACUGCCUAAGCCUCACACGGUGGAGACACUCACCCAUAAGAUUGACCAAUGGACUAUUGUCUCCCACCAAAAGAAAAAUAAAAAACAUCAAAACAACUUUCAUAACCUAAGCCCUAGAGACGACCUAGAGCAUCCUAAGGGAUUGACUACAAAAAAACCUAGCCAAAGUACUCAAAGAUGGCAAAGGUCUGAAAAUGGAAAUGACCAAAGGCUAUCUCCUAACUUUGAGGGAAGCAAAAACCCACUGAACAAUACUAAAACUUUAGGUGAAACCCCAGCCACCCCAUACCGUUACCCUACAGUCCAAAGCCAAUAAUUGGAUAAUAUUGUACCUAAAGACUCAAGACAUCAACAUCAAAAUGACAACCCCUUCUCUUGCCUUUACCCUAAGGAUCUUGCCAUAACCAACCUAGAAACCAUUAACUUUCCCCAUAACUCAUAUACACCCUUGGGCAAUAACUUUCACAAAACAAAAGCUUAUGAUGAUAGCCCCUUAGCUGCAGCAAUAGUACCAUCGAAGGACAACAUCAAGGAACAAUCUAUGGACAUAGACUCUAUAAUACCUACAAAAAAUAAUCACCAUCAUUAAUGCAAAACCUUGUAGCCCACAAAUCAUCCCCUCCAAUCUGCCUAUACGUGCCUCAAGAACCCUACAACAAAUACUAAGUACAAAUCAACCUUACUCAUUGUCAACCUCAAGUCAUAACACCAUUAAUGAAUAAGACACUUUGACUCCUAGGACGGACAAAAAUUUUGCAACACAUAUUGGCCCCUCUACAUUAGCAAUGGAUACAAAUAACUACUUACCCACUAGUAGGGAUUCCAACACUCCAAAAGUCUCAACCCUAAGUAAAACCAAAACACAAGAUGCCAAGGCUACCACACAACCACAACAGGAGGUACCCAAGGCCAAGAAGGAAUGUUUGGACGAGGACACAACUCCCAAACCAAUCCCAAACACCUCUGAUAUUCACAACAAGACCCAUACAACCAGACCAUGCCCCCCAAUCUUGGUUGGAAUGGGGUCUCAUGGGACAUGCUCUGAACAUAAGCCUUAAACUAGAAGGGAGGGAUCUAAUAGUCCAAAUAGGGGAUCAGUCAUACCUAGCUCAGAUUGUAACGGAAGGGAUGCAACUAGGAUUGAACAACGCUAUGAUCCGUCCAUGGAUGAGUCCCCAACAUCCCUACCCCAUGCAAAUGAACCUAGGUCCUCAUCCCUCUCCAUGGAGCUCCCAUGCAUGGCUCCAACAGCCUACGUUCAACAUGCCCAGCCCCAACCUACCCAUGUACCCAUCUCAUGCAAUCCCCCAAACCCUAGCUCCUACUAUCCAAACUGCCCAAGCCUAGCCAAACUCCCAACCCAACAGCAACACUCUCAUAACACCACUGCCCAAAAUAAUACCACCCUCAACCCUUCAAGUUUCGAGCCAAGCACAGAUGACAACUCCAACUCCACAAAACUCAAGCCAAACUAUGAUGGAAGAGAAGGAAGAAGAGGAAGAAUUCCCAACAGAAAGAAUAGUGGGGCACGGAGUGUUAAGAUAUACAAAAACAAUGGCCUUCCAAGCAAGAAGAGAAAAAAGGUUCAUCUUAAGUUGCCCAGUGGAUUUGAGGAAAUGCUCCAUCUCUAUCAGGAAAGUGAACCCCCCAAGCAUUUAUCAACAUGUAGUAGUGUUAGUACCAACAAUGUUUACUCAUUAUUGGAUGCAACAGGAGGACAUGAGGAGCAUCCACAGUCCUACCAGUAUCCAUGAUAGGGGAGUAUCAAGCAGAAACAUCAGUAUGAAUAUGAUCAUUUAGAACUGUCGAGGUGCAAAUAGCGCAGAAUUUAGACGAGCUUUUAGAGUUAUGCUAGAUUAUCAUCGUCCUAGUAUAGUGGCACUGCUGGAAAUAAAAAUGGAGGACCACCAUGUCUUGGUCCAAAAUUUCGGGUACUCUAGUCUCAUCCAAAUGCCUGCUAAUGGAAACUCGGGGGCAUUGUGCUCAUGUGGAACAAUUGAGAUACAAUGGUAGACCAAAUUAGAGGAACGGAUCAAGAGAUACACGCAAUGGUAAAGGUAUGAAAUUCAACAAAAAAUUGGUUAUGUUCUAUUAUAUAUGCUAGUAAUCUCUUGGAAGAAAGAUCAAUUCUUUGGCAUAACUUAAAAACAGUAGCUAAUAAUUAUAAAGGUCCACGGCUAGUCGCGGGAGAUUUUAAUAAAGUCACUUGUGCAUCGGAAAAACUUGGAGGCUUACCUAUUAAUUAUAAUAGAGUAUCCAAGUUCUUAGAUUGUAUGAACCAAUGUGGCCUUGUAGAUUUAGGGUUCAAAGGGUCAAGGUUUACUAGGACUAAUAAAAGUAAAAAUUAUAAAAACAUAAUUAUGGAACAGCUUGAUAGAUGCAUUGCGAACACUGAAUGGUUAGAACUAUUCCAAGAUGCUAAUGUCAAACAUAUAACUAGAAGCCAUUCGGACCACUGCCCAAUCAAACUAGAAUUUUUUAAAAGGUUCUCUACUAACAAUAAUAUCUUUAGAAUAGAAACUAUGUGGCUUUCCCACCCCACUUUUAGAGCCUUAGUAGAUAAUUCUUGGUCUGACAAACCAAAUAUAACUAAAGCCAUAGAGAACUUCUGCUUAAAAGCUAUUGAAUGGAAUAAAAAUAUUUUUGGUAACAUUUUCAAUCGGAAGAGCAAAAUACUAGCUAGAUUAAAUAGAAUCCAAACCUCACAUAACUACCCCCAUAGUCAAUCCUAAUAAACCUGGAAAACGAACUCUUACACGAGUAUAAUAUAUUAUACUCAGGCAAAAGGAGGAUUUUUGGAAGCUUAAAUCCAGGGUUCAAUGGAUCCAGGAUGGUGACGCCAACACAAAAUUUUUUCAUAUCACCACCAUGCAAAGAAGAAGAAAAAAAGAAUUUUUUGCUUAAAAGACGAAGCUGGGAAUUGGCUCCAAGAGCAAAAACCCAUCAAGGACCAUAUUAUUGACUACUACACAAAUCUCUAUACCACGGGUCACAACCAAUCCCUCCUCAAUAAUAUCCACCUCUCUUACAAUUCUACAAUUAGUGAUCAAGAUCAUCCAUACCUUAGUAGUAUUCCCUCUACAGAAGAAAUAAAAAGGGCUCUAGAUUCUUUUCAACCUUAUAAAGCUCUGGGGUCGGAUGGGCUUCAUCCUUUUUUCUAACAAAAAUACUGGAAGGAGACAAGCAACCAUCUCAUAAAUUUUUGCCAAGAUUCCUUCUCAUAAAAAAAUGCUUAAAAGCAUGAAUAACACCCUAGUUUGCCUAAUACCAAAAAGCCAAAAUGCUAAAACCAUCAGACAGUUUCGACCUAUAAGCCUUUGUAACACAGCCUAUAAGGUCGUCACUAAGAUUAUUGCUAACCGCAUUAAAAUAUUCCUACCCACUCUUAUCCACCCUACCCAAACUAGCUUUAUUAAAGGAAAAAAGGUUGCAGAUAAUGCACUAAUCAUUAAUGAGGUCCUAGACCACUUCAGGAAAACUAAAGUGAAAAAGUCAAAAAUGAUGAUUAAAAUAGACCUGGAAAAGGCAUUCGAUAAAAUCGAAUGGUCGUUUGUUAGGUUUUCUCUAAACUCCUUAAAUUUCCCUCAUGACCUUGUUGAACUCAUAAUGUCCUGCAUCUCUAGCACCUCUACGACUAUCCUUAUUAAUGGAUCAAUAACAGAUUUCUUUGAACCAUCUAGGGGUAUUAGACAGGGGGACCCCCUAUCCCCGUAUAUCUUUAUCAUUUGCAUGGAAAUACUCUCUAGGUUAAUUGAUCAUGAAAUCGACUGUUGUAGAUGGACCCCAGUCAAAAUAACUCCUAAAAGCCUAGAGUUUUACCAUCUUUUCUUCACUGAUGAUCUUAUCCUCCUAGCUGAAGCCAACCAAAAGAGCUAUUACUCUAUCAUAAUCACUAUCAACAAAUUUUGCAAUGCUUCUGGACAAUCUAUUAAUUUUGAAAAAUAAAAAAUUGUGUUCUCAAGGAAUACCCCUACGGAUCAUAAAGAUCACAUUAGUAGCUGCUUUUUAAUGAGAUUUACUUAUAACUUCGGAAAGUACCUAGGCUUCCGUAUGCCCAAUACCAGCCCUAUAAAAAAAGACUUCCAAUUUAUCCUAGACAGACUAAACAAUAGACUAACAGGUUGGAAAACUAAAUUCCAUAAUAUGGCAGGUAGCACAACUCUCAUAAAAGUCACCCUAGCCGCAAUCCCAAACCACGUCAUCCAGAUUUAUGAUCUCCCCAAAACAACACUCAAAAAGAUAGAUUCUACCCAAAGGAAUUUCCUAUGGGGUAGCACAGAGGAAAAAAAGAAAUGUCAUCUUGUAAAAUGGAGCAUAGUCACAAUGCCUAAAAAACAAGGGGGCCUAGAAAUUCCUAACACCCAUUUGAAAAACUCCUCUUUCAAUGCAACUUUAGCUUGGCGAUAUAGAAAAGAUAAAGAUAGCCUAUGGUCCAAAACUAUACAUAGUAAAUACAACCAUAGGAAAAGCAAGAAUAUAGGUUCCCAUACUUGGAAAGUAAUUAAUCUGUGGCAUGAUAAUUGGAUAAAUCAAUCAGGAACACUCAGGGACUCCAUCCAAGGCUCCAUCCCAACUGGAGAGCUUGACAAAAAUCUCUCCUGCUUUAUUAAAAAUGGAAUGUUCGAUCUUAGAAACUUAUCCUUUGAACUCCCCCGGACAUCGUUUCUAAGAUAAAUUACACCUACAUAAAACAAAUUGGACCCACUACGGAUUCAUACACUUGGAACUCUAAGGAUCACAACUUCUUUUCAGUUAAAGUUGCUUAUGAAGCUGUCUCAGAAUCCAUAGGCAACGGGAAAAACUUAGCCUGGCUAUGGAAAAUCAACUCUUUAAACAAAUGAAAUUUUUUUUCUGUGGACAAUCUUUUGGGAUAAGCUACCCACUAAAGAUUUGCUAAAAAAAAAAGAGAAAUUUGCCAAGAAGACACUUGUAACAUUUGUGUAAGCACGUGAUUUUUUCCCUAUGAAAGAAUUACUCCGAAAAAAUUCAAAAUAAAAUAAUUUUUUCUUGGUGUGCAACUUUUUGAAUAUUUGUGGUAUUUUUAGAUAAUUAUUU